CCCCCUCACCCGUGGCGGCCGCUCCGCUGGCCGCGCUCCAGAGAGAUGAGGUAGGCGGCGAGCUUGGCGUCGCUCCAGCCGCUGCGGCGCCGCAGGUCCACCCAGGGCCCGUGCGCCUCGCCCAGGUCAGGACAGCAAUCCCACACUCCUGCUGCCGAGGGUAGUGGACGAAGAUGCGCUGGAUGAUGUUGCGAGGCCGGAAGACCUCCUUGGGGAAG
rnacentral:lncRNA from 1 species